UACGUAGGGGGCAAGCGUUGUCCGGAUUUAUUGGGCGUAAAGAGCGUGUAGGCGGCCUGAAAGGUCAGCUGUGAAAACUCGAGGCUCAACCUCGAGACGUCGGUCGAAACCAUCUGGCUAGAGUCCGGAAGAGGAGAGUGGAAUUCCCGGUGUAGCGGUGAAAUGCGCAGAUAUCGAGAGGAACACCCGUGGCGAAGGCGGCUCUCUGGGACGGUACUGACGCUGAGACGCGAAAGCGUGGGGAGCGAACAGG
rnacentral:rRNA from 1 species